GACGAACGCUGGCGGCGUGCUUAACACAUGCAAGUCGAACGAAGAGCGAUGGAAGCUUGCUUCUAUCAAUCUUAGUGGCGAACGGGUGAGUAACGCGUAAUCAACCUGCCCUUCAGAGGGGGACAACAGUUGGAAACGACUGCUAAUACCGCAUACGAUCUAAUCUCGGCAUCGAGGAUAGAUGAAAGGUGGCCUCUACAUGUAAGCUAUCACUGAAGGAGGGGAUUGCGUCUGAUUAGCUAGUUGGAGGGGUAACGGCCCACCAAGGCGAUGAUCAGUAGCCGGGCUGAGAAGAGGAACGGCCACAUUGGGACUGAGACACGGCCCAGACUCCUACGGGAGGCAGCAGUGGGGAAUCUUCCGCAAUGGACGAAAGUCUGACGGAGCAACGCCGCGGGAGUGAUGACGGCCUUCGGGUUGUAAAGCUCUGUUAAUCGGGACGAAAGGCCUUCUUGCGAAUAGGGAGAAGGAUUGACGGUACCGGAAUAGAAAGCCACGGCUAACUACGUG
rnacentral:rRNA from 1 species